rnacentral:tRNA from 1 species
GGUGGAAUUGGUAGACACGCAGGACUUAAAAUCCUGUGUCCAUUAGGACGUGCGGGUUCAAGUCCCGCC